ACUUCCAAACGUUCAAAUAUAUACACAAUAUGUAAUAACAUGCUAUUUAACAACUCUGUCAAGGUAUUAUCACGUUAGGAAAGGUUUUGUUUUGGCUUUGUGUCGAACUGAGUGAGAGAAGAACGUGAUUUACAUUGAGUGAGAGUAUAUGUUAGCUUGAUGCUAGCUGAGGUAAAAAACGAUUUACGAGUCACAGAGACUAUGUUUACUGAGUAGCUUACUUGUACUGGAUUUUGUCUAGGAGAUUUUUUUAUAAAGAAUCCAUUUGUUAGGGAUUUCUGAGUUGGUUUUACAUGUUAUUGUUUUUUUUGUGUAAAAUUGUGCUCACUAGCUGGUAAACUGGCCGAGCACGCUCAGUCUGGUGGACUUUUAGUGCAUACAGUGAGAGAGAGACGAUUUUCUGGAGGUGCCACUAUCUUAAAGCUGAAUGUAUUGUUGUCAGUUUUCUAUAGAGGUAGCGGUAUAUAGAAAAACAUUCAGUUAUGUUUUCAUAUAUAGGUGUUUCUAUUGUAUGAAUGUGAAAUACAUUGUGGUUUUCAUGUGAAACCAUACACUAAGACAGGGUUAUUUGUGGAACAUUUUUGAGUUGUGCUUUAGGUAAAGUGCAUUUAUGUUGUGUAAUUUAAAGUGUGCACUUGUUUGAUGUGAAUAUUUUCAAAGCACUAACAAGAAAAUAGACAAUUGAACAAGAGAAAAAAAACAUUCUUCAGAAUAAAGAAAGCGCCAGAACUUUGCAGACGUAAACUUGUGUCUGUUCUUUUUACUAUUGCAGGCCACCUCAGCUACACAUGCACUCUGUCUGCACACGCAUCCACGCAUGCUCAUACACACGGACAAACACACACUAAUGUUCUGUCUCUUGUGUUUGUCAGCAGUUCAUUGUGGCCCUGUCGUUCGCCUCCUUCACCAAAGCUCUGUCAGGGACCUACUGCUCUCAAUACUGUCCAGUUUUCUAGUUGUUCCUAUUAAUUGAUUGACUGGCGUUUGUCCAUGACUCUACUGUCAAACCCCUAACAUUGUUUUAUGUGCUGCUAUGUUGUUGCAGCCUAGUAUCCAAACUGAUAUGCCAUUUUUAGUAAAAAAUAAAUGUAAAAAAACUGAGCAUGGGUGCAGUUUCUUGUCCUCCUCGUUCCGCUGUGAAAGGACCGCACCAGCUCCGGUGUCCGAGGCGUCCACCUCUACCACAAAGGGACGAGUAGGAUCAGGAUGAACGAGGAUGGGUCCGGAGUUGAAACGUCCCUUGAGCUCUAUGAAUGCCCUGUCAGCCUUGAGAUUCCAGCAAAAACCUGCUUGAGUGAGGUGGGACAGGGCCGAAUGUGUUCCGGAAGGGUUUUUGGAGAAGAUCAGGAUGUCGUCGAGGUAAACAAUGAUGAACCCAUUCAACAUAUCCCUAAGAGUGUCAUUGAUCAAUGCUUGAAAGAAUGCCGGUGAGUUCGAUAUUCCGAAGGUCAUGACUAAAUACUCAGUGACCACUAGGGUGGUUAAAGGCAUUUUUCCACUCAUCUCCCUCCCUGAUUCUCACCAGAUUUUAAGCGUUGCGGAGGUCCAGUUUGGUGAAGAAUUGGGCUCCUAGGGCCAACUCCAAGGCGGCGGACAUCAGGUUUGUUGAACAUGAGUGGAAAUGAAACUCCAGCACACUGGCAGCACUAAAGACGUGUGAGUAUAACUUUUCCAGAUGAGGUGAACCUGCCUGUGGGUGCGGUGGGGAUAUUCCUGGGAGGUCUACUGAUGAAGAGGUAUAAGCUUGGCGUUGUGUCUGGAGCCCAGCUGUCUUUCGUCACCUCCUUCAUGGCCUACCUCCUCCUCCCUCUGCAGUCUGGCACUAAGUGUGACAACGUUAAGGUGGCUGGUCUGACCGUGUCCUACGACGGGUCCCCUGGUGUACGAUGGCAGCCUGUUGUCAGAGUGUAACAGAGACUGCUCCUGCUUGGCUGGGGAGUGGGACCCUGUGUGUUCAGACAAUGGCAUCACCUACACCUCCCCCUGCCUCGCAGGCUGCUCCAGCUUUACAGGUUACGGCAAGAACACGGUACCAAUACUAUUAAUGUCUGAGUGUACAACACAUUCACAGGGAUGCUGGCCCAUGUUGACUCCAAUGCUUCCCACAGUUGUGUCAAGU